rnacentral:rRNA from 1 species
UGGGGGAUAUUGCACAAUGGGCGAAAGCCUGAUGCAGCGACGCCGCGUGGGGGAUGAAGGCCUUCGGGUUGUAAACUUCUUUUGCUCUGAACAAGGCAUGCCUUUGGGGUGUGUUGAGUGUAGGGGUUGAUUAGCGCCGGCUAACUACGUGCCAGCAGCCGCGGUAAUACGUAGGGCGCGAGCGUUGUCCGGAAUUAUUGGGCGUAAAGGGCUUGUAGGUGGCUGGUUGCGUCUGUCGUGAAAGCUCAUGGCUUAACUGUGGGUUUGCGGUGGGGACGGGCUGGCUUGAGUGCAGGAGGGGAGGCUGGAAUUCCUGGUGUAGCGGUGGAAUGCGCAGAUAUCAGGGGGAAUACCGGUGGCGAAGGCGGGUCUCUGGGCUGUUACUGACGCUGAGGAGCGAAAGCGUGGGGAGCGAACAGG